rnacentral:misc_RNA from 1 species
GAAAUGCGAUAAGUAAUGUGAAUUGCAGAAUUCCGUGAAUCAUCGAAUCUUUGAACGCACAUUGCGCCCGCCAGUACUCUGGCGGGCAUGCCUGUUCGAGCGUCAUUUCGACCAUCGAGCCCGCGGGCUCGCGUUGGGGAUCUGCGGCAGCGCGCAGGCCCCGAAAACCAGUGGCGGGCUCGCCGUCGCACCGAGCGUAGUAGCAUCGUUUCCUCGCUCCGGGGCGUGACGGCGGGUUCCCGGCCGUUAAAAGGUCGUGGGGGGCGGUAAGACGUCGCCCACCUUCCUUUCCAGGUUGACCUCGGAUCAGGUAGGAGUACCCGCUGAACUUAA